rnacentral:rRNA from 1 species
GAUCCUGGCUCAGGACGAACGCUGGCGGCGUGCUUAACACAUGCAAGUCGAACGAAGAGCGAUGGAAGCUUGCUUCUAUCAAUCUUAGUGGCGAACGGGUGAGUAACGCGUAAUCAACCUGCCCUUCAGAGGGGGGACAACAGUUGGAAACGACUGCUAAUACCGCAUACGAUCUGACCUCGGCAUCGAGGAUAGAUGAAAGGUGGCCUCUAUUUAUAAGCUAUCACUGAAGGG